AUUAUUUGUACUUUCUACUGUUGUUUAUCCAUUUGGUUAAAGAAUGGUUGUGAGCAUACGUUUCGGCCACAACUCUCCAUUCUUCCACUGAUGUCAACUCCCCAUUCUCAACUAUAGAAAAGGUAAGAACUAUGCUAUGACUUUUCCUAUUUGCUUCUAAAUUUCUCAUAAUGAUUCAAACUCUAAACACCUUAUCCUCUAAAUGUUCUGUUCCUCUUAGUUCUUCUUAUGUUACUGAUUUGAACAGAAGAAGAAAACUUAAGGUAGGUUUUGUUUCUGUUAAUGUUUUACAUUGUACAAGAAGUUAUUAUGGGAGUGUUGUGUUUUCUAGACACUUAAAUUUAUAUUUAAGAUGUGGGUUUUUCUUAGGUUAUCCUAAAUAUGAUGCAUUUUUGAAACAUAAUAAUAAGAGUCAUGUUGGAGAUUUGGUUCCACCUUUAGUUGAGGAGAAUAA
rnacentral:lncRNA from 1 species